AAGAAUGAGACCAAGCCUCCUGUAGUUGAAGAAGAGAAUGAUGCCAUUGAGGCUCCCAUAGCUGAAGAAGAAAAAAGCUUCACUGAGCCUCCUGUAGUAGAAGAAGCAAAUCACAUAUCUGAGUCUUUUGUAGUACCUGAAGAAGUGAAGAAGGCUGUAAAUACUCCUGAUGCCUUUAUUUCUGUUGAAAAUGAAUCUAUAGUGGCACAAGAUUGUGCUGCUGAGACAGACUCACCUGAUGUCUCAGAACCAGAAGUUAAGAUUGCUGAAAGCAAGCCAGUGACCGACAAUUCUGAAUCACAGGAAGCAGAGGAAGCAAAGGUGGAGCUUGUUG
rnacentral:lncRNA from 1 species